GUCUUUGUAGCUUACUACUAAAGCAUGGCACUGAAGAUGCCAAGACGGCUGCCAUUCUCGCACCCAAAGACA
rnacentral:tRNA from 1 species